rnacentral:rRNA from 1 species
GAUGAACGCUGGCGGCGUGCCUAACACAUGCAAGUCGAACGGAGACUACGGACGGAUGUCUUCGGAUCGAAGCAUGUAAUUCUUAGUGGCGGAUGGGUGAGUAACGCGUGGGCGACCUGCCCUAUAUAGGGGGAUAGCAGCUGGAAACGGCUGGUAAGACCGCAUAAGUCGGUUAAAUCGCAUGAUUUGCUCGGGAACUGAGCAGUCAGGUAUAGGAUGGGCCCGCGUCCGAUUAGCCAGUUGGCAGGGUGAAAGCCUACCAAAGCGACGAUCGGUAGCCGGGCUGUGAGGUCGGACGGACACAUUGGGGGGGAGACGCGGCCCAGACUCCUGCGGGAGGCAGCAGUGGGGGAUAUUGCAAAAUGGAGGAAACGCUGAUGCAGCGACGCCGCGUGAGUGAAGAAGUAUUGCGGUAUGUAAAGCUCUAUCAGCAGGGAAGAUGAUGACGGUACCUGACUAAGAAGCCCCGGCUAACUACGUG